ACUGAUCCUCGCUUUAUUGGGGAAUUACGCAUCAUAAAUAAAUAUAUCUUACUUGGUAACAACGUGUUUCUUUUUAAUUAUAACUGUACACAUACUUUAACGUAGUUUUGGUAGAAUAUUUUAUAAAAAUACUUACUUUGCCUUCGACGUGGCGUGAGUGUAUAAAGUAUCAAGAUAAUAUACCUCAAUUUCUGGGUUCUAGACCUAAAACGAGGAUAACAGGAUAUAAGUAUGUCGUUGUCUAAAGGUAUAUUGCUGGGUGCUGCUGUUCUCGUGGCUGUGAUCACUGUCGUGGUGGAGUGGCUUCGAUUCCCGGAGGCGCCAGCGCCUCAUGAAGCGCGGGGCCAACGACCCAAGAGAGAUUAGUAAUAGAGACAUCAGCUUUGGCAGCCCUGUGCAGUCUUUGAAGAUCAUAAUUGUAAGCAAUAACACAUCAGUAAUAAGUGAAAUUUUAAUUGGAAGAAUGAAGACUGCCUGACGAACAAUAUGCGGAAUUGAUGCGGUCCUGAAGUUGAAGAAAGCAAUAAAAGUGACUGAAACAAACUGCGCUGUAAAAUUAUGCUCACGCCGUUCGCGUUAAUUACUGCAAUAUAGUAGCUGCCUAUGUUUGAUUUUAUUCAUAUCUAUAAGUAACAGCAAAUAAUGUGAAGGGAAGCCGUUCUGUGAAAACAACAUCAAAAUAUCGUCAUAUUUAAAAAAAUGCAAUGCACAACAGUAGACGCGUAGAGAGGAUAUAGUUCUUUCUCUUUCUUCCGCGCUCAUCGUUAUAACCGAUGACGUCAAGUGCCUGGACUUCGUCCCUUCUGUUUUGCUAGUUCAUGGUAAAUUGAGUAACUAUCGCAUGAGCACACAAUUAUUCUAUGACAAUCUUCCCAACGUCCACUCUUUAUAAUCUUAGAACUCUUUCCCCCUUAUUCAUAGACGUUAUUUAUCAAAGGACGGAGCAUUACUGUGAUAACAAUUCUGUUUCUCAGCUUUGUUUAUCUGACAGUUGUAUCUCAAUUAGCCAAUCACAACGGCCCUAUGUCUAGGCAUUGCGAAGGCUGCCAUGCCUUCAGCACUGAGAAACAGACUCACAGCAAUGCUCCGUCCUUAAAUAAAUAACUUCUAUGAAUAAGGGGGUUUGCUUGUAGCCAAUGUAAAUGCUUUGAAAUCAUUUGAAUUCUGCUUAUCAUGCACUAUGACUAAUCGUUUAAACUCCAUACUAAACAUACCAAUAAAUAUGUUUUUGAUUUUUUUUUUGUAAUUUUUGCAUAAUAUUUGAGACGACUAGAUGCUUCAGAGCUUAUGACGAGGUGAUACACUGAAUAAUAAAUUACAUAUGUAAUAAACUAAUAUUUAUAUUAAUUGACCAGAAAAACUAGAUUUGCCAUGUUGUAGUAAAAUAGUAAACUUAUUUUCUUAUACGAACAACGUCAAGUUAGACACGAAAACGCUAAAGUGACAGCUUAGGUUUUUUAUUCUCUGGUCAGUCUAUUAUUUCUAAAAUGUAUGUUCUUUAAUAAAUUUGUAUUUUUAAAA